UGCGUAGGGACCAAGCGUUGUUCGGAUUUACUGGGCGUAAAGCGUGCGCAGGCGGUUUUGUAAGCCAGGUGUGAAAUCCCCGGGCUCAACCUGGGAAUGGCAUUUGGGACUGCAAGGCUGGAGUGCGGCAGAGGAGACUGGAAUUCCUGGUGUAGCAGUGAAAUGCGUAGAUAUCAGGAGGAACACCGAUGGCGAAGGCAGGUCUCUGGGCUGACACUGACGCUCAUGCACGAAAGCGUGGGGAGCAAACAGG
rnacentral:rRNA from 1 species